rnacentral:rRNA from 1 species
GCCACUAUUCUUGACAAAGCCAAGGCGGCCGGUCACAUUAGAGGGCUAGCCCCCCACCUGGUGGGAGGGAACGACGUGUCCCUCCUCUAGUACGCCGACGAUACCAUCAUUAUGAUGGAGGGCUCUAGCAGCGACAUUGCAAACUUCAAAUUCCUCCUCCUAUGCUUUCAGGAGUUAUCGGGCCUCAAGAUUAACUUUGCGAAGAGCAAAGUAAUGGUUCUGGGAUAUUUGCUGGCUGAGAGCCUGGGUAUUGCCAACCGCCGUAACUGUCGGCUUGGCUCCUUCCCCACCUCUUACCUCGAGAUCCCCAUCAGUGACGCCCGCCUCACGGUCGCUGACUUGCGCCCUUCGGUGGGCAAACUCAGCCUCCGCAUUGAACCUUGGAAGGGUAGAUGGCUGUCUAAGGCGGCUUGCACUAUCCUGAUCGACUCCUCCCUGACUAGCCUCCUGCUUUUCAUCAUGAGCUUCUAUAGCCCGCCCGAGACCCUCCACCAUGAGAUUGGUAUGAUCCAAGGCCUGCUUCUUUUUGGCGGGCGAGGGGGACAAGCAGAAAUACCACAUGGUGCAGUGGUCUAA